UGUUCCACAGCUGCCUGCACAGGACAGGACUUGGGCACAGGACUCACAGCAAUGUCCAUCAGUCAACCUCUCCCCUGUUGGGCUUCAACGCAGAUUGCAACAGGGCACGUUCGACUGCGCUGGAGGUGCCUUACUUAAACAACCCCCAAAAGCCCCUGGCCUGAGGUCAACUGCCCAAGCUGUAAUUGAUCCAAGUCCCGAAGUUCUUCUGUUUGGGGACCACCACGCUGAUGGUGUUAGGCUGGUAGCGCCCCCUGGAACACCAGGGUCAGGUCUUCUCUGUGCUUGGGAAUGCCAUCCAAAGAGAGUGGUGGACUGCAUCUAAGGCUAAGUAUGGGCGUGACACCGGUAGCCAACACGUAUCAUAAUGGAAAGUUGAAAAGUACUUUGAAGAGCAAUUUCAAGAGGGCAUGAAACCAUCAAGAGGUAAACAGAUGGGGAUUCAACAAGGAGGGCAGGUUGUUCACACAGGACAGGGGAUGCCCUUGCAGGACCGCUACCUGGCCAUAUCCGGUUCCCGCAGAUUGCAUUUCCUCCAUGGUGGUGUUCAGAAAUUAGUUCCAAGGUCAGCUGGGAAUGCUGCAUGGGGGAGGGGUUUCUCUGCUCUGGGAAGAGUGUUACAGAGCCCUGGCUACAAUUUUGCAAUGACCACAGGGCCGAGUUAGAUUGACCACUGGUGCACCCUCAUCCAGUGAAUGUCUCUACCCCUCUUGGGGGUCCCCGGGGCAGAGAUGGGGGACUGGACUGCCAGCUCCUUAUGUGACUGUUGACUGUCGUGGACUCUCCUCAUUGUACUCUGACCGCGCCACACCAGGCUGUGAGGCACACAUAGGAUGCAAGGGGUCUACAGUUAUUUCAGCUACCCACCUGACAUUUCUUGAAACACAGACCAAGGAGUCUAUCAUGUGGGCGAGUCAGAGAGCCAAACAAAACAAUUGGUACAAUGAAGGUGUGGGCCGGUGCACAGCGGCUGAGGUGGGAUGGGUUGCGCCACUCUGUUGGGGAGAUGAAGCAUGAUCUUGUGUGAUAUGACCCGAAAGAUGGUGAACUAUGUCUGGGCAGGGCAAAGCCAGGGGGACUCUGAUGGAGGUCCGUAGUGGUCCUGUAAUGUAAAUCGGUAGUCCGAACUGUGUAUAGGGGCAGAAGACUAAUCAAACCAUCUAGUAAUUUCCUCUGAAAUUUUCCACAGGAUAGCUGGUGCUCGGAUACCCCAGUUUUAUCCAGUGAGGCAAAUGAUUACAGGUCUUAGGGCCAAAAGAAUCUCAUCCUAUUCUCAGACUUUAUAUGGGUGAGAAGCCUGAUCCGCUGGCUUGAAGCUGGGCAUCGAAUGCUAUGCAGAAUUAGUGCUGCAGGAUCAACCGAAUAAAAGGUUAAGACACACGAUUGUGACACUCAUCUAGCCCCAGAAAAGGUGUUAGUUAAUAUAGAGAGCAGAACAGUGGCCACAGAUGUCUGAAUCUGCUAAGGAGUGUGUUAUAACUCACCUGUCAAAUCAAAUAACCCUUGCAAUGGAUGGUGCUGGAGCAUCGGGCACAUACCCAGCCACUGCCGGCACUGAGAACUGCAGGAGCUAAGCAGCAAUGAGUAGGAGGACUGCUGCAGUGUGCACAGUAGCCCGGGGUGAGCCACCGCAGGUGCAGAACUUGGUGGUAGUCGCAAAUAUGCAAACAACACUUUGAGGGCCAUAGUGGAUAAGGGUAUCAUGUGAACAGCAGCUGAACAUAGGUCAGUCGUUCAUUAGAGAUGGGUGAGCACUGUUCGGAAGGCACAGGCAAUGACUUCUGUUGCCCACAGCCAAACAAAUGGGAGUUGGGUUCAGAUCCCCAAACGCAGAAUGGCAUAGACGGGCACCAUUGCGGCUUCCAUUUUGGUAAUGCAAAAUUUCCCGGAGAACCCUUGAAAUGGGUUUUGCCCGAGAGAGGAGCAUGAGCCUUGGAUAGCAUUGCAGUUCAGGCACUGGUCCUUUUUAUUCCAGGGAAGAUGUUGUAAAUCUUGCACAGGCCUGUACCCAUAUCUGUAACAGCGCACCAAUGUGAACCACCUCUGUCAUGUUGCAACAAAGUAGGUAAUGGAAGUCAGUGAGUCAGAUCUUUAACUUCCGGAUUUGAAUUGGCUCUACCGGGUCAAGCUGGUGCACAUAGCAGGGCUGGGCAUGCACCACAACUGACGAGGCAUCUCUGCGCAGAGGCGGACCAGCCAAUACUGGAGGCAAGCCAGGACCGUCCUGUCGGUCGCCCAAGCUGGGUUGGCGGCUUCUCUCCAUUCCCCUCCCAGGGUUCAGGUCAGGGUUCUGCCUCAGCCGACACCUAGAUGCUGACUGAGAACUGGUGCAGAAUACAUCAACCCAGCGGUUUAAUUGAAUCAAGGCAUCACAAAGGCAUGCAGCAGGUGUUGACACAAUGUGAUUUCUGCACAGUGCUCUGAAUGUCUACGUGAAGAAAUUCUUUGAACCAUGGGUAAACGGCAGGAGUAAAUAUGACUCUCCUAGCAUUGGCCAAAUGCUUCGUCAUUUCAUUGGUGGCACGCAUGAAUGGAUGAAUGGAUUCCCACUGUCCCUAACUACUAUGUAGUAAACCAUAGAAAAGGAAACAGGCUUGGUUGAAUUACCGGGCAUUGUAGACCCUGUUGAGCUUAAGUCUAGUCUGGCACUUUGAGGAGACAUGAGAGGUGUAGGAUAGGUAGGAAGGCCUUGUGUCAGUGGAGUCAUUUUUUCACUUUCCCAAUGAGACGGGGGAGGGCAAGCUCUGUAGGGCUGCCUGUUCUGGCUGCAAGCACCCAGCUCCUGCCAUGUGUGACCUGCUACAUGGGCAUUAGCAGGUGGGUAGUUUCACUGGGGCAGUACACCUGUCCUAUGAUAACGCAGGUGUCCUAAGGCAAGCUCAGGGAGGAGAGAGACAUCCCUCAGAGACGAAGAGCAAAAGCUUGCUGGCUCUCGAUUUUAUGGAAGCAGUGCCUCAUGAUCCUUAUGCCCUUUUGUGUUUCCAGCAGGAGGUGUCAGGUAAUUACCUCAGGGAUAACUGUAUUGUGGCGCAAAGCAUUCAUAGCGACUUGGCAUUUUGAUCUUUCCAUGUUGGCUCUUCCUAUUAUUGUGAAGCAGAAUUUAGCAAACAUCAGAUAGUUCACCCACUAAUAGGGAAAUUGAGCUGGGUUGAGAUCCUCAUGUCACAGGUUAGUUUUACACUACUGAUGAUGUGUUUUUGCAAUAAUAAUACUGUCAUCCUCUGUGCCAAGGUUUUGUAAAAAGGUGCUGCAGCUGUGCCAGUGCCACAAUUGUCUCUAUCAUCCCUCCUCCUGCUGAUUCAUGAGGUGCAUGGGAAAAACCCUCUCACCCUGGGUGCACCUUGCUGGAUGAGGAGUGCUCUUCUCCCUUUCCGGUCAGCCUAGGUGACCAGAUGGCCUUGG
rnacentral:rRNA from 1 species